rnacentral:snRNA from 1 species
GGGGGUCCCAGUUCCGAACC